GUGUGAGAUUUGGCUGCGCCUCGCCUGCAGCUUCCGCGAGAUGCUCGGUUGUACAGAACUCGGACCAGAAGUGACCGUUUAUGGCGUUCAAGUAGAGAGUACUAGUAGUAGUACUAGUAGUCUUCUUCAAGGUUUUUUUCUCAGUUUUUCUUAGUUUAGUUUUGGAAUUCUGUGGCCAUGAGUCGGAGGUCCCGAGUAGAUUACAAGGCGCUGAAUCGUACGUCAACUGCCGAUUUCCUUCCAAGUACACGUCGAACUCUAUCCCGUGGAGAAGACGACGGCGUGUAUAGGGCCAGCUAUCUGCUUGACAAGCGACGGAGAAAGAGGAAGGUGAGAAUUUGAAUAUUGUCGAUAUUAGUUGCAAUCACAUAUUUUCUCGGCUGACAAUGGAGCAAAACCUUCUUGCGUGUUUGGCAACAGGUUCAGUACCUCGUCAAGUGGCUGGGAUAUUCUGCUAGGGAGAGCUCUUGGGUGGAAGCCAUUGACAUAACGGAGGAUUUGAUUCGGGCAUUUGAGUCUGGCGUUUGCGAGAGCAAUUUCUCGCCAGAUGAGCUUCACGCCGCUGCUGACAGCUUUAUUAUAGCGGUACAGAAAAGGCUGCGUUCUGGUGCCGCAAUCGGGGAGCCAUUUCAUUGUCGGCGUGACAUCCUCAUGUGCUGGUUUGGUGACAAACCAAAGAACAGGGGUGCAUGGACGCUUGACAGAAAAGAUUUCCCCGGAAAGUACUUCCUGCCAGGUUGGGACAGGGUGUUAGAUCAGUUUGGUCAAGGUCCUCAAGUGGUCUAUCCCAUUACCCUGCGACCUACAGUACGUAGGUCACCCAAAAAUCACACUAGGGGUGAGGCAGGGCACAUAGUUGCAGUACAACAAGUUGCUGUGCAGUACGGGUCUGUGAACUUCGCUCAGCAGCAGUGCAAGGAAUUUGCCACAUGAAUGGUGAGUGGUGGCUCAGUAUCUGACGGCGUCCGCUAUGCAGCAGUACAUCAGCACAUGCAUCCCACUUGUUGCUCUUCUGCAUGUGACUCCGCCGUGCUUCAUCGUUGGUCUUCUCAACGCCUGUAGCCAAUAAUAGCCAGCACGCGUGAUGCGCUGUCGCUGCACUCAAGCCAAGCACCAGACCCAGGAACUGCAGCGGAAAAAGCAAGAACAUAGCAGCAAGCUCCACCACACGCCUCUGCAUGGCAGCCAAGUCGCUGACGCUGGCGUUGCUGACGAUGUCAGCUUCAUCAAGCCGCAGCUCAUAGGUUCGCCCUGGAAAGGAGGAGAUUCAGAAUCACAAUAUUCCUUUGAUACCAUUCUUUAUUUUCAUCACUAUUCUCACUAUGGUACAAUAUUAUCAGUGCUUACCUUUGUAACAUAUUUCAGCACUUUUCUUCUUCUUUUUUCUCUGCUGCUCGAAGCAGUAACGUGCCUUCUGCACUUUCUCAAAGAGCUCCCGUUGCCUGCCAUCCUUGAUGGUAAUCUUUCCUCCGGCCUCUGUUUUACUGAAAAAAUCGUUCCAGUCCUUGUGCUGGGAACAUAGAA